AGCGGCGGACGGGUGAGUAACACGUGGGUAACCUGCCCAAGAGACUGGGAUAACACCUGGAAACAGAUGCUAAUACCGGAUAACAACACUAGACGCAUGUCUAGAGCUUGAAAGAUGGUUCUGCUAUCACUCUUGGAUGGACCUGCGGUGCAUUAGCUAGUUGGUAAGGUAACGGCUUACCAAGGCAAUGAUGCAUAGCCGAGUUGAGAGACUGAUCGGCCACAUUGGGACUGAGACACGGCCCAAACUCCUACGGGAGGCAGCAGUAGGGAAUCUUCCACAAUGGACGAAAGUCUGAUGGAGCAACGCCGCGUGAGUGAAGAAGGGUUUCGGCUCGUAAAGCUCUGUUGGUAGUGGAGAAAGAUAGAGGUAGUAACUGGCCUUUAUUUGACGGUAAUUACUUAGAAAGUCACGGCUAACUACGUGCCAGCAGCCGCGGUAAUACGUAGGUGGCAAGCGUUGUCCGGAUUUAUUGGGCGUAAAGCGAGUGCAGGCGGUUCAAUAAGUCUGAUGUGAAAGCCUUCGGCUCAACCGGAGAAUUGCAUCAGAAACUGUUGAACUUGAGUGCAGAAGAGGAGAGUGGAACUCCAUGUGUAGCGGUGGAAUGCGUAGAUGUAUGGAAGAACACCAGUGGCGAAGGCGGCUCUCUGGUCUGCAACUGACGCUGAGGCUCGAAAGCAUGGGUAGCGAACAGGAUUAGAUACCCUGGUAGUCCAUGCCGUAAACGAUGAGUGCUAAGUGU
rnacentral:rRNA from 1 species